AUUGAACGCUGGCGGCAUGCUUUACACAUGCAAGUCGAACGGCAGCGCGGGCUUCGGCCUGGCGGCGAGUGGCGAACGGGUGAGUAAUACAUCGGAACGUGCCCAGUAGUGGGGGAUAGCUCGGCGAAAGCCGGAUUAAUACCGCAUACGACCUGAGGGUGAAAGCGGGGGAUCUUCGGACCUCGCGCUAUUGGAGCGGCCGAUGGCAGAUUAUCUAGUUGGUGGGGUAAAGGCCUACCAAGGCGACGAUCUUUAGCUGGUCUGAGAGGACGACCAGCCACACUGGGACUGAGACACGGCCCAGACUCCUACGGGAGGCAGCAGUGGGGAAUUUUGGACAAAGGGCGAAAGCCUGAUCCAGCAAUGCCGCGUGUGUGAUGAAGGCCUUCGGGUUGUAAAGCACUUUUGGCGGGAACGAAAAGGACUGUGCCAAUACCACGGUUCGAUGACGGUACCCGCAGAAUAAGCACCGGCUAACUACGUG
rnacentral:rRNA from 1 species